AGUAAAGUAAGCUAAAAACUAAGCUAGUGGGCUCAUACCCCAAAAAUGAUAAUUCCUUUAUUA
rnacentral:tRNA from 1 species